rnacentral:rRNA from 1 species
GUCUUUUUGGUAUUAAUUUAAGGUUUAACCUGCCCGAUGAAAAUUUGAAUGGCCGCGGUAUUUUGACUGUGCUAAGGUAGCAUAAUCAUUAGUUUUUUAAUUAAAAGCUGGAAUGAAGGGUUGGAUGAAAAAUUAACUGUCUCUAAUUAAUUUUAUUAGAAUUUUAUUUUUAAGUUAAAAAGCUUAAAUAAGUUUAAAAGACGAGAAGACCCUAUAGAGUUUAAUAUAUUUAAUUUAUUAAUAUUUAGUAUUUAUUUUUUAUAAUUAUAAUAUAUUUUAUUGGGGUGAUUAAAAAAUUUAAUAAACUUUUUUUUUAACUUUAUAUUAAUUAAUAAAUAAAUGAUCCAAAAAUUUUGAUUAUAAGAUAAAUUACCUUAGGGAUAACAGCGUAAUUUUAUUAGAGAGUUCUAAUCGAAAAUAAAGUUUGCGA